AUUGAACGCUGGCGGCAUGCCUUACACAUGCAAGUCGAACGGCAGCACGGGGCAACCUGGUGGCGAGUGGCGAACGGGUGAGUAAUGCAUCGGAACGUACCUUUCAGUGGGGGAUAACGUAGCGAAAGUUACGCUAAUACCGCAUAUUCUGUGAGCAGGAAAGCAGGGGAUCGCAAGACCUUGCGCUGAUUGAGCGGCCGAUGUCAGAUUAGCUAGUUGGUGAGGUAAAGGCUCACCAAGGCGACGAUCUGUAGCGGGUCUGAGAGGAUGAUCCGCCACACUGGAACUGAGACGCGGUCCAGACUCCUACGGGAGGCAGCAGUGGGGAAUUUUGGACAAUGGGCGCAAGCCUGAUCCAGCCAUGCCGCGUGAGUGAAGAAGGCCUUCGGGUUGUAAAGCUCUUUCGGCCGGGAAGAAAUCGUAUGGGUUAAUACCCUGUGCGGAUGACGGUACCGGCAUAAGAAGCACCGGCUAACUACGUGCCAGCCGCCGCAGUAAUAC
rnacentral:rRNA from 1 species